rnacentral:rRNA from 1 species
GAUGAACGCUGGCGGCGUGCCUAAUACAUGCAAGUCGAGCGAACAGACGAGGAGCUUGCUCCUCUGACGUUAGCGGCGGACGGGUGAGUAACACGUGGAUAACCUACCUAUAAGACUGGGAUAACUUCGGGAAACCGGAGCUAAUACCGGAUAAUAUAUUGAACCGCAUGGUUCAAUAGUGAACGACGGUUUUGCUGUCACUUAUAGAUGGAUCCGCGCCGCAUUAGCUAGUUGGUAAGGUAACGGCUUACCAAGGCAACGAUGCGUAUCCGACCUGAGAGGGUGAUCGGCCACACUGGAAGUGAGACACGGUCCAGACUCCUAGGGGAGGCAGCAGUAGGGAAUCUUCCGCAAUGGGCGAAAGCCUGACGGAGCAACGCCGCGUGAGUGAUGAAGGUCUUCGGAUCGUAAAACUCUGUUAUUAGGGAAGAACAAAUGUGUAAGUAACUAUGCACGUCUUGACGGUACCUAAUCAGAAAGCCACGGCUAACUACGUG